rnacentral:rRNA from 1 species
GAUCCUGGCUCAGAAUCAACGCUGGCGGCGUGCCUCAGACAUGCAAGUCGAACGAUUAAAGCUCCCUUCGGGGAGUGCAUAAAGUGGCGCACGGGUGAGUAACACGUAAGUAAUCUACCCUCGGGUGGGGAAUAACGUCCGGAAACGGACGCUAAUACCGCAUAAUGCAGCGGCACCGCAAGGUGACAGUUGUUAAAGAUUUAUUGCCUGGGGAGGAGCUUGCGGCAGAUUAGCUUGUUGGUAAGGUAACGGCUUACCAAGGCUACGAUCUGUAUCCGGUCUAAGAGGACGGUCGGACACACUGACACUGAAUAACGGGUCAGACUCCUACGGGAGGCAGCAGUCGGGAAUUUUGGGCAAUGGGGGAAACCCUGACCCAGCAACGCCGCGUGAAGGAUGAAGUAUUUCGGUAUGUAAACUUCGAAAGAAUAGGAAGAAUUAAUGACGGUACUAUUUAUAAGGUCCGGCUAACUACGUGCCAGCAGCCGCGGUAAUACGUAGGGACCAAGCGUUGUUCGGAUUUACUGGGCGUAAAGGGCGCGUAGGCGGCGCGGUAAGUCACUUGUGAAAUCUCUGAGCUUAACUCAGAACGGCCAAGUGAUACUGCAGUGCUAGAGUGUGGAAGGGGCAAUCGGAAUUCUUGGUGUAGCGGUGAAAUGCGUAGAUAUCAAGAGGAACACCUGAGGUGAA